rnacentral:rRNA from 1 species
UACAGAGGUCCCGAGCGUUGUUCGGAUUCACUGGGCGUAAAGGGUGCGUAGGUGGCAUGGUAAGUUUGAUGUGAAAGCUCAGGGCUUAACCCUGAAAUGGCAUUGAAUACUACCGUGCUGGAGGUUUGGAGGGGGGACUGGAAUUCUUGGUGUAGCAGUGAAAUGCGUAGAUAUCAAGAGGAACACCAGUGGCGAAGGCGAGUCCCUGGACAACACCUGACACUGAGGCACGAAAGCUAGGGGAGCAAACAGGGUUAGAAACCCCAGUAGUUC